UACGUAGGGUCCGAGCGUUGUCCGGAAUUACUGGGCGUAAAGAGCUCGUAGGCGGUGUGUCGCGUCGGCCGUGAAAACUUGGGGCUUAACCCUGAGCUUGCGGUCGAUACGGGCAUGACUGGAGUUCGGCAGGGGAGACUGGAAUUCCUGGUGUAGCGGUGAAAUGCGCAGAUAUCAGGAGGAACACCGGUGGCGAAGGCGGGUCUCUGGGCCGAUACUGACGCUGAGGAGCGAAAGCGUGGGGAGCGAACAGG
rnacentral:rRNA from 1 species